rnacentral:rRNA from 1 species
UGGGGAAUAUUGCACAAUGGGCGCAAGCCUGAUGCAGCCAUGCCGCGUGUAUGAAGAAGGCCUUCGGGUUGUAAAGUACUUUCAGCGGGGAGGAAGGGAGUAAAGUUAAUACCUUUGCUCAUUGACGUUACCCGCAGAAGAAGCACCGGCUAACUCCGUGCCAGCAGCCGCGGUAAUACGGAGGGUGCAAGCGUUAAUCGGAAUUACUGGGCGUAAAGCGCACGCAGGCGGUUUGUUAAGUCAGAUGUGAAAUCCCCGGGCUCAACCUGGGAACUGCAUCUGAUACUGGCAAGCUUGAGUCUCGUAGAGGGGGGUAGAAUUCCAGGUGUAGCGGUGAAAUGCGUAGAGAUCUGGAGGAAUACCGGUGGCGAAGGCGGCCACCUGGACGAAGACUGACGCUCAGGUGCGAAAGCGUGGGGAGCAAACAGG